CUCAGGAUGAACGCUGGCGGCGUGCCUAAUACAUGCAAGUCGAGCGAACUGAUUAGAAGCUUGCUUCUAUGACGUUAGCGGCGGACGGGUGAGUAACACGUGGGCAACCUGCCUGUAAGACUGGGAUAACUUCGGGAAACCGAAGCUAAUACCGGAUAGGAUCUUCUCCUUCAUGGGAGAUGAUUGAAAGAUGGUUUCGGCUAUCACUUACAGAUGGGCCCGCGGUGCAUUAGCUAGUUGGUGAGGUAACGGCUCACCAAGGCAACGAUGCAUAGCCGACCUGAGAGGGUGAUCGGCCACACUGGGACUGAGACACGGCCCAGACUCCUACGGGAGGCAGUCAGUAGGGAAUCUUCCGCAAUGGACGAAAGUCUGACGGAGCAACGCCGCGUGAGUGAUGAAGGCUUUCGGGUCGUAAAACUCUGUUGUUAGGGAAGAACAAGUACAAGAGUAACUGCUUGUACCUUGACGGUACCUAACCAGAAAGCCACGGCUAACUACGUGCCAGCAGCCGCGGUAAUACGUAGGUGGCAAGCGUUAUCCGGAAUUAUUGGGCGUAAAGCGCGCGCAGGCGGUUUCUUAAGUCUGAUGUGAAAGCCCACGGCUCAACCGUGGAGGGUCAUUGGAAACUGGGGAACUUGAGUGCAGAAGAGAAAAGCGGAAUUCCACGUGUAGCGGUGAAAUGCGUAGAGAUGUGGAGGAACACCAGUGGCGAAGGCGGCUUUUUGGUCUGUAACUGACGCUGAGGCGCGAAAGCGUGGGGAGCAAACAGGA
rnacentral:rRNA from 2 species